rnacentral:lncRNA from 1 species
UCCCAUAUAUUUUUUAUUAAAUUUUUGAAGUGCCUAUUCAUGAAAUGUAUACCCCUGUCGCUUAUGAUGGCUCUUGAGCAUCCAAACUGACUAAAAAUGUUAUGCUGAAUGAACUUGAUCAUGACUUUGUGAUCAUUGAUUCGGAUUGCCAUGGCUUCAACUCAUUUUGAAACAUAAUCCAUGGUGACCAAUAUGUACUCAUAUCCGAACGAAGGAAAGGAUCUCAUAAAGUUGAUUCUCUAG